CUACGUGCCAGCAGCCGCGGUAAUACGUAGGGCGCGAGCGUUGUCCGGAAUUAUUGGGCGUAAAGGGCUUGUAGGCGGUUGGUCGCGUCUGCCGUGAAAUUCUCUGGCUUAACUGGGGGCGUGCGGUGGGUACGGGCUGACUUGAGUGCGGUAGGGGAGACUGGAACUCCUGGUGUAGCGGUGGAAUGCGCAGAUAUCAGGAAGAACACCGGUGGCGAAGGCGGGUCUCUGGGCCGUUACUGACGCUGAGGAGCGAAAGCGUGGGGAGCGAACAGGAUUAGAUACCCUGGUAGUCCACGCUGUAAACGUUGGGCACUAGGUGUGGGGGCCACCCGUGGUUUCUGCGCCGUAGCUAACGCUUUAAGUGCCCCGCCUGGGGAGUACGGCCGCAAGGUUAAAACUCAAAUGAAUUGACGGGGGCCCGCACAAGCGGUGGAGCAUGUGGUUUAAU
rnacentral:rRNA from 1 species